CCUACGGGAGGCAGCAGUAGGGAAUCUUCCACAAUGGGCGAAAGCCUGAUGGAGCAACGCCGCGUGGGUGAAGAAGGUCUUCGGAUCGUAAAACCCUGUUGUUAGAGAAGAAAGUGCGUGAGAGUAACUGUUCACGUUUCGACGGUAUCUAACCAGAAAGCCACGGCUAACUACGUGCCAGCAGCCGCGGUAAUACGUAGGUGGCAAGCGUUAUCCGGAUUUUUUGGGCGUAAAGGGAACGCAGGCGGUCUUUUAAGUCUGAUGUGAAAGCCUUCGGCUUAACCGGAGUAGUGCAUUGGAAACUGGGAGACUUGAGUGCAGAAGAGGAGAGUGGAACGCCAUGUGUAGCGGUGAAAUGCGUAGAUAUAUGGAAGAACACCAGUGGCGAAGGCGGCUCUCUGGUCUGUAACUGACGCUGAGGUUCGAAAGCGUGGGGAGCAAACAGGAUUAGAUACCCCAGUAGUC
rnacentral:rRNA from 1 species